rnacentral:rRNA from 1 species
GGCUGUUCGUUUUUAAGAACAGUCUGGCCUGCCCACUGAUUUAUUAAUUUUAAAGGGCCGCGGUAUCUUGACCGUGCGAAGGUAGCAUAAUAAUUAGUCUUUUAAUUGAAGACUGGAAUGAAAGGUCGGACAAAAAGUAACCUGUCUCAAUUUGGCAUAUUUAAAUUAACUUUUAAGUGAAAAGGCUUAAAUACUCUUGUAGGACGACAAGACCCUAUAAAACUUUAUAUACUUAUAUUUUAUUUCAAUUUAUUCGUGAAAAGCUAAAUAAUAAAAAGUGUAUUUCGUUGGGGCGACGAAAGUAUAAUUUUUAGUAACUGCUUAGAUUAUUAAACACUUAUAAGUGGAGAACCUGAUCCUUUAUAUAAAGAUUUCAAGAAAAAGUUACUUUAGGGAUAACAGCGUUAUUUUUUUUAAGAGUUCUUAUCGACAAAAAAGCUUGCGACCUCGAUGUUGAAUUAAAAUAACCUAAUGGUGCAGCAGCCAUGACAGGUAGGUCUGUUCGACCUUUAAAAUUUUACAUGAUUUGAGUUCAAACCGGUGUGAG